AGCGAACGCUGGCGGCAGGCCUAACACAUGCAAGUCGAACGAAGUCUUCGGACUUAGUGGCGGACGGGUGAGUAACACGUGGGAACGUACCUUUUGGUUCGGAACAACUCAGGGAAACUUGAGCUAAUACCGGAUGAGCCCUUAGGGGGAAAGAUUUAUCGCCGAAAGAGCGGCCCGCGUUAGAUUAGCUCGUUGUGGAGGUAAAGGCUCACCAAGGCUACGAUCUAUAGCUGGUCUGAGAGGAUGAUCAGCCACACUGGGACUGAGACACGGCCAAGACUCCUACGGGAGGCAGCGGUGGAGAAUCUUGCGCAAUGGGCGAAAGCCUGACGCAGCCAUGCCGCGUGAAUGAUGAAGGUCUUAGGAUUGUAAAAUUCUUUUACCAGGGACGAUAAUGACGGUACCUGGAGAAAAAGCCCCGGCUAACUUCGUGCCAGCCGCCGCCGUAACAC
rnacentral:rRNA from 1 species